rnacentral:rRNA from 1 species
CCUACGGGAGGCAGCAGUGAGGAAUAUUGGUCAAUGGCCGGGAGGCUGAACCAGCCAAGUCGCGUGAGGGAAGACGGCCCUACGGGUUGUAAACCUCUUUUGUCAGGGAGUAAGGUGCGGGACGGGUCCCGCUGUGAGAGUACGUUAAGAAAAAGCAUCGGCUAACUCCGUGCCAGCAGCCGCGGUAAUACGGAGGAUGCGAGCGUUAUUCGGAUUGUUUGGGUUUAAAGGGUGCGUAGGUGGGGUGUCAAGUCAGCUGUGAAAUUGCGGGGCUCAACCCAGGAAAUGCCAUUGAUACUGGCUGCCUUGAGUGCGGUAGAGGUAGGUGGAAUGCGUGGUGUAGCGGUGAAAUGCUUAGAUAUCACGCAGAACCCCGAUGGCGAAGGCAGCUUCCUGGCCUGUGACUGACGCUCAUGCUCGAAAGUGUGGGUAUCAAACAGGAUUAGAUACCCCAGUAGUC